AGCSACGAUGCCAUAGCCYGRCCUGAKRWGGUGAUCGGCCACACUGGGACUGAGACMCGGCCCCAGACUCCUACGGGAGGGCAGCAGUAGGGAAUCUCCGCAAUGGACGAAAGUCUGACGGAGCAACGCCGCGUGAGUGAUGAAGGCUUUCGGGUCGUAAAACUCUGUUGUUAAGGGAAGAACAAGUACRAGAGUAACUGCUUGUACCUUGACGGUACCUAACCAGAAAGCCACGGCUAACUACGUGCCAGCAGCCGCGGUAAUACGUAGGUGGCAAGCGUUAUCCGGAAUUAUUGGGCGUAAAGCGCGCGCAGGCGGUUUCUUAAGUCUGAUGUGAAAGCCCACGGCUCAACCGUGGAGGGUCAUUGGAAACUGGGGAACUUGAGUGCAGAAGAGAAAAGCGGAAUUCCACGUGUAGCGGUGAAAUGCGUAGAGAUGUGGAGGAACACCAGUGGCGAAGGCGGCUUUUUGGUCUGUAACUGACGCUGAGGCGCGAAAGCGUGGGGAGCAAACAGGAUUAGAUACCCUGGUAGUCCACGCCGUAAACGAUGAGUGCUAAGUGUUAGAGGGUUUCCGCCCUUUAGUGCUGCAGCUAACGCAUUAAGCACUCCGCCUGGGGAGUACGGUCGCAAGACUGAAACUCAAAGGAAUUGACGGGGGCCCGCACAAGCGGUGGAGCAUGUGGUUUAAUUYGAAGCAACGCGAAGAACCUUACCAGGUCUUGACAUCCUCUGACAACUCUAGAGAUAGAGCGUUCCCCUUCGGGGGACAGAGUGACAGGUGGUGCAUGGUUGUCGUCAGCUCGUGUCGUGAGAUGUUGGGUUAAGUCCCGCAACGAGCGCAACCCUUGAUCUUAGUUGCCAGCAUUUAGUUGGGCACUCUAAGGUGACUGCCGGUGACAAACCGGAGGAAGGUGGGGAUGACGUCAAAUCAUCAUGCCCCUUAUGACCUGGGCUACACACGUGCUACAAUGGAUGGUACAAAGGGCUGCAAGACCGCGAGGUCAAGCCAAUCCCAUAAAACCAUUCUCAGUUCGGAUUGUAGGCUGCAACUCGCUACAGAGGCUGCC
rnacentral:rRNA from 1 species